rnacentral:rRNA from 1 species
AACGAACGCUGGCGGCAGGCCUAACACAUGCAAGUCGAACGCCGUAGCAAUACGGAGUGGCAGACGGGUGAGUAACACGUGGGAACGUACCCUUCGGUUCGGGAUAACUCAGGGAAACUUGAGCUAAUACCGGAUACGUCCGAGAGGAGAAAGAUUUAUCGCCGAGGGAUCGGCCCGCGUCUGAUUAGCUUGUUGGUGAGGUAACGGCUCACCAAGGCGACGAUCAGUAGCUGGCUGAGAGGAUGAUCAGCCACAUUGGGACUGAGACACGGCCCAAACUCCUACGGGAGGCGGCAGUGGGGAAUAUUGGACAAUGGGCGCAAGCCUGAUCCAGCCAUGCCGCGUGAGUGAUGAAGGCCCUAGGGUUGUAAAGCUCUUUUGUGCGGGAAGAUAAUGACGGUACCGCAAGAAUAAGCCCCGGCUAACUUCGUGCCAGCAGCCGCCGUAAG